UCCGCUUGACCCGCCUGAAUUGGCCUUGAACAACCCAGCCGCAGCUGGGCGCGUGCGGCACGCGCGAUAAAGCUCGAUAUCCCACCCUCGUGGGGCGUCAGUUGAUCGCUGUUGCCGGAAACGUAGAAAAAAAUUUCCCACCAGCCGUCGCCUUUCCUCGCCGUGUCUCCCUUCUCAGGGCCUCGCCUGACCUCACCUUUCAUCGGACCACUGUCGCCGGCCGGAAUGUCCUCGCAAGAUUGCCGGAUUUCGAUCGUAUUAGAUACAGCGGGUUCUAUAAGGUCUUCUGUAAAUAUCCUCUUGUUCCGUCCCUUUCGGAUUGCUCAAAGGAUAACAUGAAGGUCCAGAAGAACACUGUAGGUAGUAUUCCUGCUGCUGAGUUGUUGAAUAGACUGAAACCAUCUUAUCGGUUUUCCGCCCAUCUGCACUAUAAAUUCGCAGAUAUCAUCCCACACAAGGAUGGAUCUGUCACCAAAAGUUUCUUGCUCUAGACAAACUGUCUCCCAGGGAACGAAUUUUUGCAGGAGUCUUGAUAAGAGGGUCCAAACCUUUUCAUUUUGUGCAGACAGUCCCGUCCUUUGGCCAUUUUCGGGGAGCAUCCAACCCUUCACUCCAUGGUUCAAAGACUCUCUUCUCAAGCCCAGCCAUGGCACCAUACAGAAUCAGUUGGUAUAGGUCGGUAUAACUUGAAGUCGAGUCAAUCAGUCAGUUCCACCCAGGUCCGAUUCGGAUCCCUCUGUUGUUUUCCUUUCCUCCCGAACCUUUUCCUCGAAAUGAGAAAGAAUCUGGACUUAUGAUGCUACGGACGGCUGUCCGAAGUGCAAUGACGGGCUCGGAUAGGAUAGGAUUGUGCGUAUAGGCCAGUUGGUUCCAUUUCUAGCCUCGAGCUAUACAACAACAACAACAACAACAACAACGAGAACAACAACCACCCUUGGGCUUCUGGCUGUUAAAACGUGGGAGAACGUAACACGUCAGGGUUUUGUAAUUUGUAGAAAUUUGUUUAAUUCUUUAUAGGUUUGCACUUGUAGGCUUGUUUCUUCUGUAGAACUGGUCCUAAUAUUUCUAAUUCCACUUUUGAAAUCAUGUCUGCAGAAAUGAAUACUAGCAGUAGAGUUGAGAAAACUACUGGAUCAUGGCUUCUAAGUAAUUUUAUCAACUGCUGUUUUUGGCAUUGUCAUAGCCAUCAUUUUUUCAUUGUUCUUAUUUGUCUUUUUAAAUUACUUCAUGGCUUUCUUCUUCAUAUGUUCUGAUUAAUAGUGGUAUACUUUUUUUUGUAAGACUUGCUAGAUUUUUACAAUCAAACAUCUGAUGAUGAUGAGGGUGUGGAUGUGGAUGAUGUACAGUUAAAUAUAACAUCUUAUUUGGCAGUUCCACUCUCCGUUGGGCUCUCGGGCGUUGGUUCUGGCCUUUUACAUCUUAAAUAUAACAUCGUACAGUUUUGGAUCCACUAAUAAAUCAAGCCCAUAUAAAAUCAUAGUAAUUCCAGCAUGAGAAGAAGUAUUUAGCUCAGAGGA